rnacentral:lncRNA from 1 species
UAUUUAUUUUUCCUCUAUUCGACAUUAUAGUGCUGUUUUUCUUUCAUUGCCCAAGGUGGAAGCUAGAUUAUGAAUUUAGAUUUGAUUUUUCAAUGUUGAAGACAACAUUGAAGAUGAUGAGCUACCCCGUGACGUGGAGAAGCCUGCGGCCCGGUAUCACCACUGGUCUGUUGAGGUCCUACAGGACCUCACCUUAGAAGACAUUGAGGAUGAUGAGAUGCCGUCUGACAUGGACAUCGGGACAGCCACAAAUGACCUCUGUAAGUAUUCUUUAUCUUUUAAACUGCUUUAUUCUCACAUAGUUGACAUGCAAAACAAUUCACUUAUUUAAAGUGGGUGAGGUAGUGUUGUUACUAUAUUUACAGGGUUGUGCAGCCAUUGUUACAAUCUAAGUUUAAAAUCUUUUUAUUCCCCCUCAGAGAAAUCCUAUAGCCAUUAGUAGUCACUUCUUUUUUUUCCCAAGGCCCACACCCCUGGCCCUAGGCAGCUGCUAAGCUACUUUCUGUUUUUCUAGAUUUGCCUUCUCUGGCAAUUUCUUUUUUUAAUUAAAUUUGAUUUUAAUUUUUGGGAUACAUGUGCAGGACGUACAGCUUUGUUACACAGCUAAAAUUGUGGCAUGGUUUGCUGCACCUGUCAACCCAUCACCCAGGUAUUAAUCUCCGCAUACAUUAGCUUUUUAUUCUGAUGCUCUCCCGUCCACUUCCCCCACAGUGUGUGCUGUUCCCCUCUCUAACAUUGUACACAUUCUAAUAUCACUUUCUUCCUAAUGACAAAUCUAAGUGAUAAGUCAGGGGGAAUUUUCUUGCUUGCAUUUCUCUGGAGAACCUCCCUAGCUUCAGGUUCCUGAUAGGUGUGAGGAUCUAGGGCAUGCUGUCAGAAACAGAUGUCUCCAUGAAGAACUCAGCUCUAGACAGGAGAAUCUUCAUCAUGUCCUAUUGAUGCUACUUUUGAAAUAGGUUUUUGUUUCCUUCUGAAAACCUUUACACACAGAGAGCCAAGGUAGGUGCUUUAAGUCAUAAUGAAUGUCAAGUGGAACACAUGAUGGUUUGAGGGUUUUUUCUGGAGCACUCAUUCUGUGGAGAUGCAUCGCUUUUCAGUAAAAUUUGAUUGUCCCAUAUGUGUCAGUAUUUUCCCAAUGGAACAAAAGAAUGAAACUGUUUGAUUGUGCAAUGUCACUUGUUCACCCCAGAAGUGAUUUUCUCAUCACCAGAUUGUCCUAGACAUCUUUAAUCUUUAGACGAGGCUUCCCAUUGGUGCUGCAGGGGCGCUGCUGUGUGUGAGUCAAGGAAAAUAUUAGUGUUACCAA